rnacentral:rRNA from 1 species
UACGUAGGAGGCUAGCGUUAUCCGGAUUUACUGGGCGUAAAGAGGGCGUAGGCGGUUCUACAAGUCGGAUGUAAAAUCUCCCGGCUCAACUGGGAGGGACCAUUCGAUACUGCUGGGCUAGAGGGCAGCAGGGGGAGGUAGAAUUCCCGGUGUAGUGGUGAAAUGCGUAGAUAUCGGGAGGAAUACCAGUAGCGAAGGCGGCCUCCUGGGCUGUUGCUGACGCUGAGGCCCGAAAGCGUGGGGAGCGAACAGGAUUAGAUACCCCCGUA